rnacentral:rRNA from 1 species
GAGUUUGAUCCUGGCUCAGAGCGAACGUUAGCGGCAGGCUUAACACAUGCAAGUCGAGCGACAAAGGGGCUUCGGCCCUGAGUAGAGCGGCGGACGGGUGCGUAACACGUGGAUAAUCUGCCUCGUGGCGGGGGAUAACAGUCCGAAAGGACUGCUAAUACCGCAUGUCAGGUCGGAAACCCUGGUUUCUGACGAAAAAAGAGGGCGCCCGCAAGGGGCUCUCACCACGAGAUGAGUCCGCGGCCCAUCAGCUAGUUGGCGGUGUAAUAGACCACCAAGGCUAAGACGGUAGCUGGUCUGAGAGGAUGACCAGCCACACUGGGACUGAGACACGGCCCAGACUCCUACGGGAGGCAGCAGUGGGGAAUAUUGGACAAUGGGCGAAAGCCUGAUCCAGCCAUGCCGCGUGAGUGAUGAAGUC